UUGAAGUCUAUAAGCCUACGCUUUUGAGAGAACGCAGAGCCCCGCCUCUUACGGGGCGGGCAGGGAGGAAACGGAUCCAGCCGACGUGGGACAACGUUUUGGAAGAACUUCCUGUGUGAACUUGAGGGGGAGUGGGAACCCACCAGGCUACAGAGUGUCCAGUCCAGAAAGCAUGCGGGCCUUGGUUAAGAUCUCCUUGAUGCUAUCAUCAUAGAUGUCGCAAUCUCUGCAACCUCACUUACUCACAACUUUCAGCACCAUCACAGAUCGUGGUGGCAGGAGGGCUCUGUGAUCAAAGCUAGACUACUGCAGCUCGCUACCUGCUGGUCUU